rnacentral:tRNA from 4 species
GGGGAGGUAGCUCAACUGGUAGAGCGUCGCGUUCGCAAUGCGAAGGUCGCGGGUUCAAGCCCCGUCCUCUCCACCA